rnacentral:rRNA from 1 species
AGUGAACGCUGGCGGUAGGCCUAACACAUGCAAGUCGAACGGCAGCACAGUAAGAGCUUGCUCUUACGGGUGGCGAGUGGCGGACGGGUGAGGAAUACAUCGGAAUCUACUUUUUCGUGGGGGAUAACGUAGGGAAACUUACGCUAAUACCGCAUACGACCUACGGGUGAAAGCAGGGGAUCUUCGGACCUUGCGCGAUUGAAUGAGCCGAUGUCGGAUUAGCUAGUUGGCGGGGUAAAGGCCCACCAAGGCGACGAUCCGUAGCUGGUCUGAGAGGAUGGUCAGCCACACUGGAACUGGAACACGGUCCAGACGCCUACGGGAGGCAGCAGUGGGGAAUAUUGGACAAUGGGCGCAAGCCUGAUCCAGCCAUACCGCGUGGGUGAAGAAGGCCUUCGGGUUGUAAAGCCCUUUUGUUGGGAAAGAAAAGCAGCAGGUUAAUACCCCGCUGUUCUGACGGUACCCAAAGAAUAAGCACCGGCUAACUUCGUG